UUAUAGCCACGGUGUACCGGAAA
rnacentral:misc_RNA from 1 species